AUGGAAUCUGUUUUGCGCUGAAAUGUUUAAACGGUUUGUUGUGCAACCGGGGGCUGAAACAACCCAGGCUGCGGCAAAAUAGCAUCCUUCGGGCCGCUUUCUGAGCGCCUGAAACGAGUGCAGACCUUUCAUCCCGGAGCUUCAAACCGCCCUCCCCUAUUCCCGCUGCCCCGCUCCGGGGGCGAUCUGACUCCCGCUUUUGCCACCUCGGAGAGAUCUCCGCUCAACGAACGCGGCUCCGGGAGAGGGGAAAGGAGGAGAGGCUCCGGCGGAGCGGUGCGGGGCGCAGGCAGAAACCCCCCCCCCCAUCCCCGGGGUGCGGUGCCUCCUCCGGGUGCGGAGGGAGAGGGGUCCGGUGGGAAGCGGGGCCCGACCCCGGCCCUGCAUCGUCCCGACGUGGGGGUGGGGAGGCGUUGAGUGGGCAUCGUCGGGGGAAAGGGGUAUCGAAAUGAAGGGAGGGCUGGGUAACAUCGCGGGGUGCGAAGGGGAGAAUCGUAUCAUAUUAUAGAAUCACAGAAUGGAGAGAGGGGAACUGCCUUACAUUGGCAGUACUGCUGAGGGAUGCUCUCCCUGCAGGGAGCGUUAUUUCCACGGAGACCGCAUCCUCGGUAGCUGAGGAUUCGCGAUCUGUGGGUGACUGCAGCCCUCCCAGCCUCGCACAGAACUGGGUUUUAAUGGCAAAUACCUAAACCUAAAUCAGUAUCUGUGCCUUGUGGUCGAUAUGCCUUUGUGCCUUGGGCAGACACACCCAGGAGCACGUCAAGCCCACGAAGUACCCGUGCAUCCCUUUAAUCCAGACAUCACAGAGUCAGUGUGAGUUUACUCGAGUAAACAGGAAUGUAUUAAAAAUAAAUAACACACUCUUUUAUCAGCAAAAUUGGUUUUUGUGUCUACGCAGCUGAUGGACCACUGGGACUGAGUGAUGAGGGCUGGCACCAGCAGGAGGUGGUUCUGUGGGCUGUUUGUGUCACUGUGUAAAACUUAAUGCCUGCAAACUGCAACAUUUAUUUUGUGCACUGUCUUCAGUCAAAGCUGGAAGUGUUUGGCAACCCCAGAGUCAGAGCCCAUGGGAGGGA
ensembl:lncRNA